rnacentral:rRNA from 1 species
UACGUAGGGUGCAAGCGUUAAUCGGAAUUACUGGGCGUAAAGCGUGCGCAGGCGGUUGUGCAAGACAGAUGUGAAAUCCCCGGGCUCAACCUGGGAAUUGCAUUUGUGACUGCACGGCUAGAGUGUGUCAGAGGGGGGUAGAAUUCCACGUGUAGCAGUGAAAUGCGUAGAGAUGUGGAGGAACACCGAUGGCGAAGGCAGCCCCCUGGGAUAACACUGACGCUCAUGCACGAAAGCGUGGGGAGCAAACAGG